rnacentral:rRNA from 1 species
AGAGUUUGAUCCUGGCUCAGAUUGAACGCUGGCGGCAUGCCUUACACUUGCAAGUCGAACGGUAACGGGCCUUCGGGUGCCGACGAGUGGCGAACGGGUGAGUAAUGCAUCGGAACGUACCUUUCAGUGGGGAUAACGUAGCGAAAGUUACGCUAAUACCGCAUAUUCUGUGAGCAGGAAAGCAGGGGAUCACAAGACCUUGCGCUGAUUGAGCGGCCGAUGUCAGAUUAGCUAGUUGGUGAGGUAAAGGCUCACCAAGGCGACGAUCUGUAGCGGGUCUGAGAGGAUGAUCCGCCACACUGGAACUGAGACACGGUCCAGACUCCUACGGGAGGCAGCAGUGGGGAAUUUUGGACAAUGGGGGCAACCCUGAUCCAGCCAUGCCGCGUGAGUGAAGAAGGCCUUCGGGUUGUAAAGCUCUUUCGGCCGGGAAGAAAUCGCAUGGGUUAAUACCCUGUGCGGAUGACGGUACCGGCAUAAGAAGCACCGGCUAACUACGUG